rnacentral:rRNA from 1 species
GACGAACGCUGGCGGCGUGCCUAAUACAUGCAAGUCGAACGCAGUGGGGACGGGGGAGUAACACGUGGGUAACCUCCCAUCAGAGGGGAUAACACUUGGAAACAGGUGCUAAACCGCUACUGAUGGAUGGAACCGCGGGGCAUUAGCUUGUUGGUGGGGUAACGGCUCACCAAGGCCACGAUGCAUAGCCGGCCUGAGAGGUGGAUCAGCCACACUGGGACUGAGACACGGCCCAGACUCCUACGGGAGGCAGCAGUAGGGAAUCUUCGGCAAUGGACGAAAGUCUGACCGAGCAACGCCGCGUGAGUGAAGAAGGUUUUCGGAUCGUAAAACUCUGUUGUUAGAGAAGCGGUAUCUAACCAGAAAGCCACGGCUAACUACGUGCCAGCCGCCGCGGUAAUUC